rnacentral:rRNA from 1 species
AAUGAACGUUGGCGGCGUGGAUUAGGCAUACAAGUCGUACGCCCCGCAAGGGGCGUGGCGCAAGGGUGAGUAAGGCGACGGCAACCAACCCCGCGGCCGGGCAUAGCCAUCCGAAAGGAUGGGUAAUUCCCGGCGUCCCGAGGAGCCGGCAUCGGCAUCACGGGAAAGGUGAGACUCCGCCGUGGGACGGACCGUCGUGGUAUCAGCUUGUUGGCGGGGUAAUGGCCCACCAAGGCUAUGACGCCUACCGGGCGUGCGAGCGUGGCCCGGCACACUGGGACUGAGACACUGCCCAGACUCCUACGGGAGGCUGCAGUCGAGAAUCUUCGGCAAUGGGCGCAAGCCUGACCGAGCGACGCCGCGUGGAGGACGAAGGCCUUCGGGUUGUAAACUCCUGUCGAGGGGGAGGAAGGGGCAACCUUGACCGAUCCCUGGAGGAAGCACGGGCUAAGUUCGUGCCAGCAGCCGCGGUAAGACGAACCGUGCGAACGUUAUUCGGAAUCACUGGGCUUAAAGCGCGUGUAGGCGGAUCGCCGCGUCGGCUGCUGAAAUCCCCCCGGCUCAACCGGGGAACGGGCACCGAUACGGGCGGUCUCGAGGGGGGUAGGGGGGGUCUGGAACUUCCGGUGGAGCGGUGAAAUGCGUUGAGAUCGGAAGGAACGCCCGUGGCGAAAGCGACGUGCUGGACCUCUUCUGACGCUGAGGCGCGAAAGCUAGGGGAGCAAACGGGAUUAGAUACCCCGGUAGUCCUAGCCCUAAACGAUGGGUACUAGAUUGUGGACUUAACAUGGGUUCACAGUCGAAGCUAAAGUGUUAAGUACCCCGCCUGGGGAGUAUGGUCGCAAGGCUGAA